UAUAUAUAACUAUAUCCGCUGCCACCUGAGGUAAAAAUGUUUAUGAUGCAGCCACCAAAUUAUAUAUAACGCUGCCACCAGAUGUUAAGGGGAUUAUCAACUCUUGCCACCAUUAUUGGAAGAUUUAGCCACUGGCUACUUAGAGAGGAGACUUUUAAAUCUCUAUUCUUGAUGUGUGUAUGUAUGACAGAGACUGAGAUGUUUGAGAGAACAACAACAAGUUUAUUCAGGCACAAGCUUAAUGGUUACUUCUCUUCUUGUUUGAGGCACGUUACUGAACAGUUGCAAAACUAUAUUGAGGUGUUUCAAUCUUUUAAAUUCCACUUCAAUCACAGAAUAUCUGUUCCUAGUCAGGAGACAGACUACGUUAAAAUAAGUCACCAAACUUAUUUCAUCCCUGAUCCCCUAACUUAGGAUCAGCCUUCCCUGAGCUUCAACAGAGCCCAGACUACCUAAAAUAAGUCACCAAACUUAUUUUAGAAUUGAUUCAAAUUUCAAACAUUUGAGCCAACCUGAUCCCUCAACCAGAAUCAGUCUCCCGACUCUAAAACUAACCUCCCCUAUGGUUCUCUGACCACAGACUGACUGCAAAUUCUGCUCUCUCUUCAGCUAACCCAGUUGGCUCCGCCCCCUUCUCCAUGGCAACCAACUCAUGGUGCAGAGUAACUGAAAUAUUAACCCUUUCUUUUAACACAGUUAAACAUGACUUUUAAAAUGCAGUUAAACAUGACAUCUGUAAAUAAAAAAUCACACUUCGAUACUGAAGGAGAUGGAGGAGAAGAAGAGGAAGAUUAGAAGGAGGAAAGGAAGAGAAAGGAGAUGAGGAGAAGAGAACAGGAGAAAGGGGAGGAGGAUGGAAAGGAGAUGAAGGAAUGGAUAAGAAGAGAUGGACAAGGGAGAGGAGGAGAAAUGGGAGAAGGUGGGAAGGAAGAAGGGAAGGGGAAGGAAAAGAAAAAGAGGAAGAUAAGGGGGAAAGAAAAAGGAAAGAUAGGGAAGGAAGAGGAAAGGAGAUGGAGGAGGGGAGGAAAGGACAAUGGAGGAAGAAAGAGAAGGAGAAAUGGAUGAAGAAGGAGAUGAUUAGAGAAGAAUGGAAGGAAGGAGAUGGAGAAGAAGAGGAGAAAAAUAAGGCAGGAAAGAGAAGGAGAGAUAGGGGAAGGGGAUAGAGGAGAAAAGAGGACGAUGGAAGAAAGAAGGAGAAAUAGACAUGAAGAAGGUGUGAUUAGAGAAGGAGGGAAGAAGGAGGGAAGAAGAAACAAUGAGGAGGAGGAGGAAGGAGGGGAAAAGGAAGGAGGGAAGGAAGAAGGGGAGGAGGAGAGUUAGAGAAGAAGGGAAGGAAGAAGAAGGGAGAAAGGAGAAAAAGGAGGAUCAUGGAAGAAAGCAGAAGAGGAAAAGGGAUAAAGACAAAAGAUGAUUAGAGAAAGAAGAGAAAGAGAAAGAUGGUGGAGGAAGGGAAAAGGAGGAAGAAGAAAACAGGAGGGUGAAGGGAAAGACGAAAAGGAGAAGAGAUGGAAAGAAAAAGAGAAGAGAAGGAGAAAUGAGAGGAGGAGAUGAAGGAGAGAAGAAAGGAAGGAAGGACAAAGGAGAGGAAGGGAAGGAGGAAGUCAGGAAAUGCAGAAGGGAAGAAGAGGAGGAGAGAUGGGAGUAGGAGAGAAGGAAAAAGAGGGAGAUGGAGGAGGAGAAACAGCGGGGGAAGAAGUGGAAGAGGAGAAGAAGGAGAGAAGGGAAGGAGAUGGACAAAGGAGAAGAGGAGAAGGAGAAAACUAAGAAACAGACAAUAGAAGAAAGAGGAGAAGAUGGACAAGGAAGAGGAUCAGGAGAUUAGGAAGGGAAGGGAGAAGAAUGGGAGGAGGAGGGGGAGAAAGAGGGAAAGAUGGAAAGCAGAAGAGAGGAGAAGGAGUUGAAUCAGGAGAUGAAGGAGGAAAGGAGAGACAAAUGAGAGGAGAAGGAGGGAGGGAAGCAGGAGACAAAGAAGGGAAGGAAUGGGGCAGAAUAGGAAAGGAGGAUAAGGAAGAGAUGAAAAAGGGAGGGAUAUGGACAAAGAGGAAGAGAAGAAGAAAGGGAGUCAGGAAAUGAAGAAGGGACAAAAUGGAGAAGAGAAGGAGGAGAAGAAAUAGACAAGGGAAAGAAGAAGAGGGAAGGUAGAAAAGGGAGUGGAGGAGAGGAGAAGGAAGAAUUAAACAUGUGAGGAAGAGGAAGAAGAGGCGAUGAUGAAGGAAAGGAAUGGGGAAAUAGAGGAGGAAGAGGAAAAUGAGCAAAAAAAUGAGAGGAGGAGGAAGAGGAAUGGAGGAGGGGAAAGGAGGAGAGAAGAAAGGAAGAGACCAUGAAGGAGAGAAAGAAUUCUAUAGGAGAAGAAGGAAGAAAAGGUGAAGAGGGAGGGGCAUGAAUGUGAUCUAGGAUUGUAUUGGCCUUUUUCGCCGCAGCAUCACAGCAUUGGCUCAGUACCUUAGAUCAAUAGUUUGGAUUAUCCUUAAUUAGAUCCCUAUUUCUCCUAAUUAUGAAUAUUAGAGCUGAACCAGAGGAAGCCAUGUCCUCAAACUCGUCGCUGGAGUCCAAUGGAGUUGGCGAAGAGGAAACUCCUCAGGAUGAGUUUCGGAUUACGGUCUUUGAUCAGGAGAACUUCCAAGGGCAGAGGAAGGAAUUCAAUGGAGAAUGUCUGGACAUUGGGGAACAUGGUUUUGAGCGUGUGCAGAGUGCUAUCGUGACUGCUGGACCCUGGGUGGCCUUUGAGCAGGCCAAGUUCCGUGGGGAGAUGUUCAUCCUGGAGGUGGGACAGUUCCCGCGGUGGGACACCUGGUCCAGCAGCCAUCGCAGCGACCGGCUCAGGUCCAUGCGCCCUGUCAGGAUGAAGGAAUCCCAGGAGCAGAAGAUCCUCCUCUUCGAAGAGUCCAGGUUCAAGGGCCACCAGGUGGAAGUUCAAGCGGAGGACGUCCCUAGUCUCUGGACCAGGGGCUUCUGCGGCCGAGUGGGCAGCCUCCGAGUCUCUGGCGGCAGCUCAAUCCUGAGAGUAAAAGUAGAUGAGAGAAAACAUCAGCCAGGUGAAGAUUGACCUUGAAUCCUUGGAGAUUAACUUCCCUUUCAAGUAGAAUAUGACACCUUCAUGCAGUGGAAGCGAAGUCUCCCAUUCUUCCUCUUCAAGGCUGCUCACGUCAUUCUACACAUUCUCCCCUGAAUCCUAUCAAAAUGCCAAAUUUUAACCCCAUCUAAGCUCAUCAUCCUGAGAGUAGAAAUGGAGGAGAAAAAACAUCAGCUGGGUGAAGAUCGACCUCGGCUUCAUCUUCACCUUCAUUUAAUGGCAGUUAAGUCUCCCACUCUUCCUCUUCCAGGCUGCUCAUGUCAUCUAGCACAUCCUACUUGGAAUUCUAUCAAAGUGCCAGAUUUUUACCACAUCUACAGACCUGCAACCCAAUCAUUACAAACAUUUCAACAUUGUUUUCCGCAGUCUUCACAGACUUCCGAGACUGGGGGGGAAAUCUCCACGUGUAAGACAUAAAACCCCAAGGGAGCUCUGCAGCACUAGAGUGCAGGUGGCACCUUCAACUUGCAACCCAAGGAUGGCCAGGAAGUCAGCUCCCACAGGGGUACCUUGCAGGCUUGUUGGGAAGGCAGCUCCUCUUCUUCCUACUUAUGACAUUAGGAGUUCCUUCAAUGGAAUACUGCCUCUGAGUAAGGAGGACCUUCAUGUUCCAGCUGGCUGAAUUUGGAGGGCAUGGUCUUCAGUACUGAGAUUGCUGGUAUUCUCCAGAGUGACCUGCUCCUCAAAAAGAGGAAGCACACAGAAAACAGGGAAAGCACCUUCUUGACCAUCCUGUCUCUUCAUUUACCCUCAUUCCCUUCAAUCCCUAGCAACAGGGAUUCACGAGUUCAGUGCUUUCGAUGCAGAUACCUUGUGGCUUUCACAUUUGCAAGAACAGGAUUUAUUUAUUUAUUCAUUUGUUAAAAUAGGCAUACAAUAUAUGUUUGUUGUGUACAAUGUUAUAUUUUUGUGCUAAUGAUAAUUCACUAACAUUUUUCAUGCAGUAUCUUUAUUUAAGGAGCCUCUGACUUCCGUUUGGGUAGGGCAGAUAAGAGCAUCUUAAAUUCUAAGUUGGUAAUAUUGCUGCCAUAGCAUAUGAUCCAGCAUUUGUCUACAGUCUUAUAGGAUCUCCUGUAAGUAUUUUUACAUCUAGUUUAACUUUACUUUUAUAUUGAGGUAUUGGAUUGUUGGCUGCCAUUCUUUAACGAAAUCCUCUAGUUGCUCUCCUCUCAUGAGUACAGUUAGUUUAGCCAUUAUUGGCAGGUCGAUAAUAUAUUUUUUCUCAUUCUUCUAUGGUAGGUGCUCUGUGGUUUUCCAGUGUCUGGCAUAUACUUUGUACAUGCUGCCACUGUCAUGUAAAGUAGCUUUCUUUCCAAAGAACUGGAUUUUGACCCUUGCUAUCCUGGUCCUAUUGUGUGUAAGACAGUGCCCAUGAAAGAUAUAAAGUUGACCUGGCUGCUCUGACCCUUCAUGGUGUGCAGGAGCUUGCGUGGCAGUUCAGGGACCACCACAAGUCCCAAACACCACACAGAAAGUGAGAAGUUACCUGUCUGUUUUGAGUUGAGUGACUGCAGGCUCCAGAGCGAGUUGACUUACUACAGGCUCGGUGUCCUUUCAACCAUGCACUAUGAAAGAGACAGCAAUUUCUUUGAAACCAUGACCCACUCCUCUCUUCUAAUAAAUGUAAUGCUUCUGCCUUUAGCUCCUUAGCCAAGACUCAUAAGACUCCACUUGGAAGGGCUCCCCAGCCUUCCUAGCCUGUUGUGGCCAAAAUGUUCUACAGAAAUGCUGUGAAAGAAAGAAAAUAACCCUCUGCAGCCAUGUUGCAUGAAAUAAAGGGUUACUACAGGAUACAGAAAAUGACCUACCUGACUGAAUGUCAUCGGGCAUUCCUGUGAACUUGAUCUUUUUCUCUCUGGGUCACUGAAAGGAGAAAGAAGCCACAAUACAUAAGCAGAAGAAAGUUUAUCUGAGACUUCAUUGGAUCACCACUCCAGGUAGAAGUCAUCAGUCAGACUUAAAAAGCACAGAAAACAUGUCACUGCUUGGAAUUGAAUUUUACAGCUGAACUGCUGGGAAGGGUAAAUACUGGCUCACAUGCUUGGCAGCAAUAUGACCAACUUCCCCAAAAUGGCAAGAAUACAGUUGCAUGACAAUUCCAGCUGGAGCAGUCUGGUAGAAGUCCAUCUCAUGAGUCAGAAAGGCUGAAGCAGGAUAUCUGGCAGGAGGACCUUUGGGGCCCUCUUCAUCAGGACUGCUCAGGCAGCAAGGUAUACAGCUGCUCCAGGAGAAGAAGCUCUCUUCCCUAGAGUAGACCCUUGGCCUCAGACCUGUCUGAUCCAGAGGGACUGACAAGAACAAGCCUGAAAUUAGUUAGGUCUCUUCUUGCUUACAUUCUUCUCUUUCUUCCCAGAUCACAAUACACAAUAGAGCAGAAGUGGAGGAGAGAAAACACCAGCUAGGUGAAGAUUCACAUUGAAUUCUUAGAUGAGAUAAACUUCCCUUUCAAAUAAUAAUAAUAACCAAUACUUUAUUUGUAGACCGCUCUCUCUCCCCGAGACGACUCAAAGCGGUUUACAUACGAAAAAGGCAAACAUUUAAUGCCGUAGUCAACAAAGACAAAUAAAUCACCUUCAUCCAAUGGCAGUUAAGUCUCCCACUCUUUCUCUUCAGCAUCUUCUAUAUAAAUAAAAAGGUAAUGUCCAUUUGUGGGGACUUCAUAUCUCCCAAACUACUUCACCGAUUACUACAAAACUUGGACACAAGUAGCAUUCAAACUGGUGAGUGUUUUAAGGCAUUCAAAUGCCUACUAUCACAAACCUGUCGCACCUGAGACAUGUAAAACCAUGCCCCUUAGCAAUGGCCAGUCUCCUCCUCCCUUACCUACUGUCAUAGCAGAUGGCUCCUCCUAUUAGCAACGGCCCUCUUCUGCUUCAGCUUUACAGUGCUGCUUUUGGCCUUCAUGUGCUGGACUAUGACUUCCUCCACUUGAUGGACCAUGGCUUCCUCUUUGGCAUCUUCCCAUUGGCUCUCCUUCACCGUCUUUUUUGAGCUGUUUGAUUCUCUCUCCACUUGCAUCUCUGAAAGCAGGCUUCUUCUUAGCUGUGAAUGUGUCUGCUCCAUUUCUUUUUAAAGUUUUCUCCUCAUAUGGAACACAUUGAAGGUGUUCAUGCAUUCCAGCAUUAGCUUGAUGGCUAGUGCAUGGUGGUAAGAGUGCUGGGACUUCAGUUAUUGGUGUACUGGGGGUGCUGAAGCGUGUGCUGAGAGUGGAGGCACUUGGACUGACUCAGAUACGUCCCAGGACUGUUAAGGCUUCUGUGCUUCUUUUUUCUUGGUCCAAAGUGGUGCCGAUUUGAAAACAUUUGCAGCUCAUCCAUGAUAUGGAUAGUUGUGGAAAAUGGCGGUGUCUUUUUGCCAUGAACAGUGAGCUGCUCUGUGGCAACCAGAGCAUGUGGAAUAGACUUACCUAGAUUGCUUGGUACAUUGGUUAAUAGCUACAAUGCUGAAAACUAUGUCAACUAGCAAUAUCACUAGUGCCACUGAGAGGACACAGGCUGAUCUCUUUUUCAUAUGUUUCUUCCAUAUGUUCAUCAUAUGGAAAAUUUCUCCCUUUGUCUGAAACUGAAACGAGCAAGGGAGAGAGAGAGAGUCAAAUAGAAAUGGUUCACUGAGACAAAUAGUAUUAUUUCAGGGAGACUUUAUGCAGUAAUUAACACUUUUUUCAGAGAAGUGUUAUUGGGGCUCCAAUAGGCCAUCACCUAUUGGAGCCCCAGAAACAAUUGUACCCAAUGGGCAACAAAUAUAGUGCUUGUCUUCUGUCAUAUUGGGAGAUAAAAGGCUUGCCAGAUCUCCAUAUUGAGCAUCUUCAGAAGCACUGACGGAGAUGACUCGGGAUCAGUGCUGGGACAUAACGAUGUUUUGAUUUCCAGGGUUGAUGGCAUCAUCCAUACAAGGCUCAUGCUUCUCGACUCUCUCCCAAUGAUUUGGGGGAUAGUUCCUCUCCGCCAUCAACCAUUUCUUUUUGGAUAAGAAUAAAAGUACAGUACUCACAUUGAUCCACAGAUAAGUCUAUCCAGUUGUUUGUGUUUACUUUUUGAUUAAAAUUUGAAGGAAUAGCAAACCUUCAGGAACAAUUGAGAGUUGUGGGAGAAUUUAGCAAUCUACCUGUUAUGUAUAAAAGCAAACACUAAACAAGAUGCUAUUCUUGCUGGUGCAAUGCAUACAAUAGCAAGUGUGAAACUGUCUGCUCUUCGACCUGUUGUAUAUCACCUUCAUUAUGAAGAUGCAGGUUUACAGGGAAGAAUGAAGAUCGUUUAUUCCAUGUACCGUCGGAAACCAGGAAAAGAUGUUAAAAGGGAAUUGGUAAAGAUGGGAGUGAAAUAUCAAUUGUUCUAUUUGUAAAUUUAAAUUUUUAAUUUGUUGUUCUAUAUCUUGAUGUUUAUUGACUGCCCAAGAUCUGAUGAUUUUUGUUUUGUCUUCCUGGCAUUGAAUGUUUGCCAAUUUUUAUUGUAAGCCGUCCCUUUUUUGGGGAGAUAAGGCGGGAUUGAAGUAAGGUUUAUUAUUAUGAUUACUACUACUACUACAACUACUAUUGCUAUAUUUAGAAGAAUCCUGGUGCCUAAAGAGAUUUAAGCCUGGUGGCAGCAUGCCAGAAACUUGGGAUGUAGAAGAUCUCUCCAACAUUGGAAAAGUUCCCUAAUUCAAUCUUAUGGUCAAGAAUUCCAGACCAUACUUCAGAACAGUAUUCAACAACAAUGUGUACAAAGUAUCAGAAAUGGAGAUUUACUAACAGGAUGAUUUUAUUGAUUUUUAAAUUGGACUAUUUGUAAUGUGUUGUUUUUAUCUUCACUGGUGUUGUUAUUGUUUACCUCUAUUUGUAUGUGUUACCACACUUGUAUAUGCUUCUGUAAGCCACCCUGAGUCCUUUCUUGGAGAUGGUGGUGGGGUAUAAAUAAAGUUAUUAUUAUUAUUAUUACAA